rnacentral:lncRNA from 1 species
ACGAAGCAUUUCGGACCAACGAGCCUUGUAGCGACAUCUAGUGGUUACUGACGUUAACAACGUAAUUUUAUGAUAACACAGAUGGCGCUGCAGGGUUAUCGAUGGGCCCGAAUAUUUUUGAUUAUUUUAUUUUCUUCAAAAUUUGGUAUAUUAAAUUAUCUGCAACAUUUAUUUUUGAUAUAUUAUAAUUAUAUUGUUUAAAUUUUGGGAUCAAACAAGUCGAUCGAUUGUUGUCGUUGAUUCGGCGAAUUUAUGGUUUGGUAGAUUUUUUCUAGUUUGGCAACUUUGUUCGUGGUUCUGGUGUCAGACUGACAGCUGGCUGAGCUGAGAGACAGGUUAUGGAAAGUGGGGACGUCGCGAGAGCGCCGGAGACUCCACUGCCGUAACAAUAAUGUGGGCAAAUUAAAAGCCACGAUUUAUCGGCGACAUCAAGAGCCGAUGUCUCGAUUUAAAUAAAUAGCUUAACCGAGAUGCAACAUCACUGAAAUCCCAUCGCCUAAGGUCCAGUGGGUGGGUUUAGGUUUCAUCCGAGCGAUGCCCAACUAUCCCGGAUGAACCUGUAAGUUAUUUUCUUUGUUUUACACUCGUGAGUUGCCUUGCCACGCUGUCAGCUGAACCACAUGCUAAUCAUUGCCAUUCCUUGUUGCAGAUGGGUUUUUUUGUUUUCUUUAAAGUUUUAACGUUUUAAUUUUCGAACGUUUUGCAAGUUUUAAUCUAAGAAGAAGUUUAUGAUUGGAUCAGAUGAUUUCAACAAUGAUUUUGUGAAUGAAGAUUGCUACUGUUUUCUUCUGCGUUUGCAAGUUAUUUCAAGCUUCAUUUCGGCGGAGCUUGCCUUGGUUGUUUGCACGUCGAAGCUUUCCUUUGUGCGGCGCGCAUGUGGAUGUGCCGUGCCUCUCCUUUUGUCAACACACCGGAUAAGGCCCGGUGAAGGUCUGCGAGGUUGACCGGUGGACGUGCAGCCCGCCAGCUGCGUAACAGUUGGCCCGCUGCGCCGCCAUCGUCCAGCACGCCCUGGCCUGAGCCGGCCUCAACUCAUCACCUGUACGGUAUUCCGGAACGCCUCAGGUAGGCCUGAUAGUCGGAGGUCCUCGAGUAAGUGAGGUGCCUACAGGUGUACGGACAGUGUUUUGAAAUAUAGUGAUAUCCCACGGUUGUUACGGAGUGACAAUUAACCUGACGGACCAAAGCGCGACCUGUCUCCCUCCAUAGGGUUUUUGACCUACCUAUGGUUAAUGAAAUUUGUAGAUUUAAAAAAUAUACAUUGUACAAAUUCAA